rnacentral:rRNA from 1 species
UACGUAUGGUGCAAGCGUUAUCCGGAUUUACUGGGUGUAAAGGGAGCGCAGGCGGCGCGUUAAGCCUGGUGUGAAAGCCCGCGGCCCAACCGCGGGACUGCAUUGGGAACUGGCGCGCUGGAGUGCCGGAGGGGUAGGCGGAAUUCCUAGUGUAGCGGUGAAAUGCGUAGAUAUUAGGAGGAACACCAGUGGCGAAGGCGGCCUACUGGACGGUGACUGACGCUGAGGCUCGAAAGUGUGGGGAGCAAACAGG